rnacentral:rRNA from 1 species
AACGAACGCUGGCGGCAGGCCUAACACAUGCAAGUCGAGCGCACUCUUCGGAGUGAGCGGCGGACGGGUGAGUAACGCGUGGGAACGUGCCUCGUGGUGGGGGACAACAGUUGGAAACGACUGCUAAUACCGCAUAAGCCCUUAGGGGGAAAGAUUUAUCGCCACGAGAUCGGCCCGCGUUGGAUUAGGUAGUUGGUAGGGUAAUGGCCUACCAAGCCUACGAUCCAUAGCUGGUCUGAGAGGAUGAUCAGCCACACUGGGACUGAGACACGGCCCAG